GGGAAAAUAGUCUAAGGCUAUGAAUAUGAAGAAUCCCAUUCUCUUAAAAUGUGUUGAACAGCAAAUAUUUUUAUAACAUGGUGUACAGCCCAAUUUAUGCCCGGGCCCAACAUGCAGAGACCCAAAACCCAAAUUAAUUAAACCCAAACUAAACCUACCCAAAUAGCCCCUUUACAAACCCCAAAACUAACCCAAAUGGCCCAAUACAAUCGGCCCAAUAAGCCCAACGGACCCAAUCACCGGUCAAACUAGGGUUUCAGAAAACUGAAACCCUAGCCUACUGCCCUCAGCCGCCGCUCCCAUGCCUCUGCCACCAUCACCUUAGCCACCUGCCCUCUGCUCCACCUGCUAACUGCUACGCCACCAUCAGUCCCUGCAAAGUGAAAAGGAACACGCAACAGCAGCACAAAAAAAAGGGGAAAGAAGACAGCAAACAUUGAAAUUUUCGGCUAUAAAGCCAUAUUUUGAACCGAUUGUAAGGGGGGGAUUUUCUUUACGUUUUUUCUUCCUUUCUUUCGGCAAAAGCCGAAUAGGCUGUAAUAGGGGGGACAAAAAAAUCAAAAACAAAAAAGGAGAUAAUGAAAUAGAAACAAAGAUAAAAGUUUUAGUUUCCAAAACUUUUUUGUUCAUUUUUUAUUUUUACUUUUGUUUUGUUCAAAAAUAUAUAUGUAUAUACGCAUAUGUAGCAAAAAAUACCUUUUUUGAAUUUUCCGGCCACGGCGGCCACGGUGGUCAUCGGCCGGGAUCCAGGAUGGAGGUAGAGAGCCUGAGAGAGAAUGAAAUCUUUUUUCUUUUUUUUUUUCUGGAAGAGGGAAGGGAAAUGAGGAUUUUUUUAAAAAACUUUACUAUUUAUACUAGUAUUGAAACGGCGUCGUUUCAUUCAGAGACUUUAGGUUCCAAAACGGCGCCGUUUGGCAUUUGACCCGUGACCCGGCCCGUCCGACCGUAGGAUCCGCGUAUUUUCUGAUUUGAGGGGCUAUUUUCGCAGGCGGUCCCUCCGGUUUUGCAACAUAGCGCGAUCCGGUC
rnacentral:lncRNA from 1 species